ensembl:lncRNA
GGCUCCUGGUGGCCGGGAUCUACGUCAGCGGCCGCCCCACGUGCGGCGCCACACUCUUCUUCAUCCAGCGGAGGCCGCCCCGCUGGCCCGCCAUGAAAUUCCGGAGCCGCGGCCGCCGCAGCUCCUACGCCGAGGUGGAGGCGGCCAGCCAGGAGAAAGAGGGAAUUGUGGAGGCCGAGCAGUGCUGAGCGCUUCUCCCGAGGAAUCCCUCCCGAGGGAUCCAUCCCGAGGAAUCCUGAUAAUCCUUCCCAAGGAAUCCAUCCUGAGGAAUCCAUCCUGAGGAAUCCAUCCUGAGGAAUCCGUCCUGAGGAAUCCUGAUAAUCCAUCCCGAGGGAUCCAUCCCGAGGAAUCCAUCCCGAGGAAUCCAUCCCGAGGAAUCCUGAUAAUCCAUCCUGAGGAAUCCAUCCUGAGGAAUCCGUCCUGAGGAAUCCUGAUAAUCCAUCCUGAGGAAUCCAUCCUGAGGAAUCCUGAUAAUCCUUCCCGAGGGAUCCAUCCCGAGGAAUCCUGAUAAUCCUUCCCGAGGAAUCCCUCCCGAGGGAUCCAUCCCGAGGAAUCCAUCCCGAGGAAUCCUGAUAAUCCUUCCCGAGGAAUCCAUCCUGAGGAAUCCGUCCUGAGGAAUCCAUCCUGAGGAAUCCUGAUAGUCCUUCCCGAGGAAUCCAUCCUGAGGAAUCCGUCCCGAGGGAUCCAUCCUGAGGAAUCCUGAUAAUCCUUCCCGAGGAAUCCAUCCUGAGGAAUCCGUCCCGAGGGAUCCAUCCUGAGGAAUCCUGAUAAUCCUUCCCGAGGAAUCCAUCCUGAGGAAUCUGUCCUGAGGAAUCCUGAUAAUUCAUCCCGAGGGAUCCAUCCCGAGGAAUCCAUCCCAAGGAAUCCUAAUAAUCCAUCCCGAGGAAUCCAUCCUGAGGAAUCCAUCCCAAGGAAUCCCAAGGAAUCCAUCCCAAGGAAUCCAUCCCAAGGAAUCCUGACAAUCCAUCCCAAGGAAUCCAUCCUGAGGAAUCCCAAGGAAUCCGCCCCGAGGAAUCCAGAGGAAUCCAUCCCAAGGAAUCCUGAUAAUCCUUCCCGAGGAAUCCAUCCCAAGGAAUUCGUCCUAAGGAAUCCACCUGAAGGAAUUCAUCCCAUGGAAUCCAUCCUGAGGAAUCCAUCCCGAGGAAUCCUGACAAUCCAUCCUGAGGAAUCCAUCUUGAGGAAUCCCAAGGAAUCCAUCCUGAGAAAUCCAUCCUGAGGGAUCCAUCCCAUGGAAUCUAUCCCGAGGAAUCCUGACAAUCCAUCCCAAGGAAUCCAUCCCAAGGAAUCCAUCCCGAGGAAUCCAUCCCAUGGAAUCCAACCUGAGGAAUCCAUCCUGAGGAAUCCCAGGGAAUCCAUCCUGAGGAAUCCAUCCCAUGGAAUCCAUCCCGAGGAAUGCUGACAAUCCAUCCCAAGGAAUCCAUCCUGAGGAAUCCAGAGGAAUCCAUCCCAAGGAAUCCAUCCCAUGGAAUCCAUCCUGAGGAAUCCAUCCCGAGGAAUCCAUCCUGAGGAAUCCUGACAAUCCAUCCCGAGGAAUCCAUCCCAUGGAAUCCAUCCCAUGGAAUCCAUCCUGAGGAAUCCAUCCCAUGGAAUCCAUCCCGAGGAAUGCUGACAAUCCAUCCCAAGGAAUCCAACCUGAGGAAUCCAUCCCGAGGAAUCCAUCCCGAGGAAUCCUGAUAAUCCAUCCUGAGGAAUCCAUCCUGAGGAAUCCAUCCCAUGGAAUCCAUCCCGAGGAAUCCUGACAAUCCAUCCCAUGGAAUCCAUCCUGAGGAAUCCAUCCCGAGGAAUCCAUCCCAAAAAUACUCCAGCUGAGCUGCGAUCAUGCCCCAAAUUUGGAAGUUUUAUUCCCAAAUCCCUAAAAAUUGGGUAUUUUCCCCCAAAGUGGGGAGGAAAAAAAGGAAGAAUUUAUCUCCCAAAUUUGAUCUCCUUUGUCGUGGUGAUGGAUUAAUGAGGGAUUUUCUCUGGAAUUCACUUUUUUCCAAUGGUGAAAUUUGGAAUUAUUAAUUUAAAUUAUUUCGGGGUUGAUUUUUCCUGGGUUUUUUGGGGUUUUUUGCAAGAUUUUGAGU